rnacentral:rRNA from 1 species
CCUACGGGAGGCAGCAGUGAGGAAUAUUGGUCAAUGGACGAAAGUCUGAACCAGCCAAGUAGCGUGAAGGAUGACGGCCCUAUGGGUUGUAAACUUCUUUUAUAUGGGAAUAAAGUGUUCCACGUGUGGGAUUUUGUAUGUACCAUAUGAAUAAGGAUCGGCUAACUCCGUGCCAGCAGCCGCGGUAAUAUGGAGGAUCCGAGCGUUAUCCGGAUUUAUUGGGUUUAAAGGGAGCGUAGGUGGAUUGUUAAGUCAGUUGUGAAAGUUUGCGGCUCAACCGUAAAAUUGCAGUUGAAACUGGCAGUCUUGAGUACAGGAGAGGUGGGCGGAAUUCGUGGUGUAGCGGUGAAAUGCUUAGAUAUCACGAAGAACUCCGAUUGCGAAGGCAGUUCACUGGACUGCAACUGACACUGAGGCUCGAAAGUGUGGGUAUCAAACAGGAUUAGAUACCCGAGUAGUC